UGCUUUGAUUUGAGCAGGGUUUUUAACCAGACUGACGAGAAAAGCCUCGGUUCCUUAUUAUUGCAACAAGUAGAUGCAGGGUCCUAGAAACUCAACGAAUUUGGGUAUCCUAGUGUGAGAAAUUGCACCUUGUUGCGGUAGUAAGUGCAGGAUCUUAGAAGUUCAAUAACUUGAGCGUUCUAGUGUAUGGUAUUUUAGCACUUUUGUACCAGUGAACAAAGGCAGAAAGGCCGAACAGCGGACGCAAUGUUCAUACAAAGAAAGCUGAGCUCAGCAAAACGGCUAGAGCCGUGGGAGGCAUUCCUCUACGUGGUCUGGUUGAAAACUCCAAGUGUGUUUUUACAGGUGGCUACGGAAUUGGAUCAACGCCUCCACAAGCACAGCGGCCGGAGCAAAAUGAUACCUUAACAUAAUUGGAACUACACCCAGCCGUGUUUUGGCUGAAUAUUACACAGCUUCACUUCAUGUACAUCUUACGAUGAAGAACAAGCUUCGAGGACAAUCAAUCUCUCCCUGAAGACAAAAUGCAGUUCAAGAGCAACAGCGUCGACUUCAAGAGUCAACAAUGUGAACACACAGCAACACUGCCCUAAACCCUAAACCUUAAAGGGUUCAGCAGCAUGUAUGAAUACCAUGGAAGCAUGCGCUCAUGAUCACAAGCUGGGAGGUUCACCUGCGACAUCAUUGUGUGUGAAUGGACUUGAGAAGACUGUGAGUUUCACAUUUGCCAUACUGGGUGUUGAAAUGGCAAAGGCAGAGACUGAAAAGCGUGAAAGACAAAAGGCAAAGCUGAAGAAGACACGCCACAACUGUGAACUGCUGCAGAUGUGGGAGAGAGACAGAAGCUGUGAGAAGCUGUGAGAAGAGAGCAUGGAGGACAAAUGAAGUCUGUUGUUGUUAAUGUGAGAACACAUGAAAAUUGGGUUGGAAAACUGUGGCCGGCUGUCUUGUGGAGGUUGAUAAAGAGUCCGUAGGAUUGCAACAAAGAGAUACAGGUGCAGCAGCCAGAGUAUUGCCGGAAGAAAUCAUCCCAAGGGUGGAAUCUCCAGACUGACACUGGGUGCUGAUCAGAAGUCUUCAGAAACCCAGCGAGAAGCUGGGACCAUUCACAGCAAAGCUGACAGCCCAGGCAGUGGUUGAGGUCAAAGAUUGUGCGGUUUGGGGCCCUACUAGUCAUCAUGAGAAGAUUCCAGAAUCACAGCAAUAACCAUAAAGCUGCGUUGGAAUGAGAGGGUGAGGGGUGAAAAGAGCACCCUCCUCCAAUAAGGGUGUGCCAAGCUCCAACUCAACGACUGCAGACUGAGACUCUGAGCCACCCAAGAGGGAUCAGCGAAUGAAUGCAGAUAACACCUGCUUAAACUGCCAAUCAAUUUCCCUGGAAAGCUUAGUAUGUUUUUAAGUUAAGGAGGUCGUUGGUGUGACAUUAAUAAUCAUAUAAAUGAUAUGCAUUUACAUGACUCUCCGAACAUCACAAACUCUGUUAGAGUCCUGAGCCUGAGUAGAAGUGAUUGGAGUAAUUAUAGCAUGCAAGAUUUACAGCAACUUGUGCGCAUUUUGUAGGGUAGGUAGACUGAUUAUCUAGCAUGUCAGUUCCUGAUGCAUAAGUGCAUAAGGCCCUCAUUGUCUGAGUAAACAUAAUAACAACAGUUGUGAGUUCUUUUGACAUGUGUACUCAAUUUUGACACCGUAAAGAUAGGAUUUGGGGUUCAUCACAUUUCAUUGAGGGAUUUUGAUCGGCCUCAAACAUGCUGGAAGCACCUAAAGCAGGAGGUUGUUCUUCCAGAGUUAAAUGUGGUUGUUUUGGUUUCCCCAAUCACUGAUGUGGGCACAGUAAAGAUAAUUGUAAAUGCCCUUGAGAGGGUUUACACCUUUUAAACAGGCCGAUGGCCCCACAAUAGUAAAGAGUACAGUACAAUGCAUAGAAAGAGAGACUGUUGUAAAAUGUAGCUCAGAAGUGUUUGAUACAUGUUGGCUGUGUGGAAAUUUAUGGCUACUUUUGGGUUUUACUCUAAAACUCGAGAAGCACUAACAUCAGUGUUAGUAUGUGUUUGUGGUAUUAAUUUACCUACAGGUUCAGACAUAUUCACUGUCCUUGAUGGCAAACAUCUGGACAGGGCAAAGCAAAUGGCACAAAGGAGAGUGUGAUGUUCGAUGAGGCAUGUGUGCCUCAAUCCCUAAUAACACUGGGGAAGAGGGUCUUUUAUAGAAACAGUUAAUAAAUUGGGAGACUUAAUGAUAAAGUGGGAAAAUAUAUCACACACUGAAAAACUUCCUCAUCUUAACAAUGGGUUCUUAUGAGAGAGCAGCUUGAUGUAACUAAGGUUGAAGUUUUCUUUGCAGAUGAAAAACGAACACUGUUUCAUUUCUAUACAUGAUCUCAUAUUGUGUUUUAUUUUAUGAUAUAACUGCCAUCCUUCAAACAAUGGGUGGAGACUCAGAUGGAGAGAAGAUGACCAUAAAAUGUGAAUUUGUUGUUUCCUUCUGACUAUAGGGAAGAUGCACAUUGUGAAUUCUUUGAGUACACAAUGGUGCUGAUGUUCAGUAGUUAGAAAAGAAAUCUCCAUGUGUUUUUAUGUGAUUCUUAACUAAUUAUUUUUAAUUCUUAAUUGUGGUAUCACAAAGGGUGGAAUUUGGUGGCAGAUUUUUUUUCUCAUGUAUUAAUCACAUAUUUAAUCAUAUCACAUUAGUUAUAGUUAUAUCACUUUCUCACUUUACUAUAGUAAAAGCACUCCUGUCACUAGUUUGCAUGCAUGUGUAAUGUUAACACAGUGAGGCCGUUGUAAUGGGAGACAUUAAACAGAUAGUGAGGCUCCUUCUGCUUAUCAGGGAUGUAAAUCUUUCGGUAAUGUCCGAGCAGAAAACAAGGUCAUAAUUCUCUCUGUGAGGGAGGAGGUAUAGCCCCCCCGUGAGAGGGGGGUAAGACAUGUAAGAGUUUGAGGAAUGUUCUUUAUCUGUGUGUCUGUAUAUAAGAUGUAAGGGCGGUGGCCACAAGGCAGAGACGGUCCUGGUGUUUCACUGGGAUGCUCUCUCCACAUUGCAAUGUGUUUAUUAAACCCACUUCAAAUCAA